rnacentral:lncRNA from 10 species
GGCGGGAGGAAAAAGGUUCCGGCCUCAGCCGGCGCACCUGGCGGAGGAGGAACCUCGCGACGCGCUCUCGGGCAUCGGUUUCUCCCAGCAAAGCUUGGAGGGUUUAGCUGCGCGGAGAGCUCAGCGAGCUCUUCUGUGUCUGUUUGGGGCGUGUGGGCUCCGGGAGCGUGAGGACCGGGAAGCUAGGAGGCUCCUUCCCUUCUGGCGGCUCCCUCACUGAGACCGGGCGGUUUGGUUGCGGGGGAAGUGGAGACGAGCCACCCUUGACCUUUGACUGCAAGAACUCACCUUGAGCAGGAUAGAGGCACGUGGACGGUGACCCUCGGGAUGCAAUAAAUGCUGAGACAGAUCAGCAAACAUUGAGUGGGCCAGACACUGUUCUGAAAAAUACGCAGUCGACUUUUGAACAGCACAGGCUUGAACUGCAUGCGGCCACUAAUACUCGGACUUCCUUCUGCCUCUGCCAUCCCUAAGACAGCAAGACCCACCCCUCCUGCUCCUCAGCCUACUCGAUGUGAUGAUGCCACCCUGCCAACUACUCAGCAGGGGCC